rnacentral:rRNA from 1 species
GAUGAACGCUGGCGGCGUGCCUAAUACAUGCAAGUCGAGCGAACGGACGAGAAGCUUGCUUCUCUGAUGUUAGCGGCGGACGGGUGAGUAACACGUGGAUAACCUACCUAUAAGACUGGGAUAACUUCGGGAAACCGUAGCUAAUACUGGAUAAUAUUUUGAACCGCAUGGUUCAAAAGUGAAAGACGGUCUUGCUGUCACUUAUAGAUGGAUCCGCGCUGCAUUAGCUAGUUGGUAAGGUAACGGCUUACCAAGGCAACGAUGCAUAGCCGACCUGAGAGGGUGAUCGGCCACACUGGAACUGAGACACGGUCCAGACUCCUACGGGAGGCAGCAGUAGGGAAUCUUCCGCAAUGGGCGAAAGCCUGACGGAGCAACGCCGCGUGAGUGAUGGAGGUCUUCGGAUCGUAAAACUCUGUUAUUAGGGAAGAACAUAUGUGUAAGUAACUGUGCACAUCUUGACGGUACCUAAUCAGAAAGCCACGGCUAACUACGUG